UCGAUUCCCUUAGUAGCGGCGAGCGAAACGGGAAGAGCCCAAACCAACAAGCUUGCUUGUUGGGGUUGUAGGACACUCUAUACGGAGUUACAAAGGACGACAUUAGACGAAUCAUCUGGAAAGAUGAAUCAAAGAAGGUAAUAAUCCUGUAGUCGAAAAUGUUGUCUCUCUUGAGUGGAUCCUGAGUACGACGGAGCACGUGAAAUUCCGUCGGAAUCUGGGAGGACCAUCUCCUAAGGCUAAAUACUCUCUAGUGACCGAUAGUGAACCAGUACCGUGAGGGAAAGGUGAAAAGCACCCCGGAAGGGGAGUGAAAUAGAACCUGAAACCGUGUGCUUACAAGUAGUCAGAGCCCGUUAAUGGGUGAUGGCGUGCCUUUUGUAGAAUGAACCGGCGAGUUACGAUUUGAUGCAAGGUUAAGCAGUAAAUGUGGAGCCGUAGCGAAAGCGAGUCUGAAUAGGGCGUUUAGUAUUUGGUCGUAGACCCGAAACCAGGUGAUCUACCCUUGGUCAGGUUGAAGUUCAGGUAACACUGAAUGGAGGACCGAACCGACUUACGUUGAAAAGUGAGCGGAUGAACUGAGGGUAGCGGAGAAAUUCCAAUCGAACCUGGAGAUAGCUGGUUCUCUCCGAAAUAGCUUUAGGGCUAGCCUCAAGUGAUGAUUAUUGGAGGUAGAGCACUGUUUGGACGAGGGGCCCCUCUCGGGUUACCGAAUUCAGACAAACUCCGAAUGCCAAUUAAUUUAACUUGGGAGUCAGAACAUGGGUGAUAAGGUCCGUGUUCGAAAGGGAAACAGCCCAGACCACCAGCUAAGGUCCCAAAAUAUAUGUUAAGUGGAAAAGGAUGUGGCGUUGCCCAGACAACUAGGAUGUUGGCUUAGAAGCAGCC
rnacentral:rRNA from 1 species